CGGGGUGUGGCGCAGUUUGGUAGCGCACCUGCUUUGGGAGCAGGGGGUCGUGGGUUCGAAUCCCGCCACCCCGACCA
rnacentral:tRNA from 1 species